AACAUUUUUCCUAUUAAUAUUGAUUUUACCCCGGGGUACGCGUACUUUUAAUUUCUCAAUGGUCAAACAAAACUGAACAUUCAGCUAGUAUAGUAUAUAAAUUCUUUAAUUUUACCAACCGUGGCAGUGAGUGACAAACUUCAAAACUGUCGAAUGAAAAAAAUCUAGUUGCAUUUGAUGACAGCUGCUGUCAUACGAAAGUUGCUCGUUUUGUGGCAGAAGAAAAGAAAAUGGCGUCAGCAAUCAAGGCAAACAGAGAUGCCACACUUCAAAACAAUAGAUAAUUGAAUGGAAAUUAAAAUAUAUUUUAAAUAAUUCUUUGAUUAAAGCAUAUUUAAAAAAACUUUUCACAAACAAAGUACUCCACUUAUAAAGUGUUCUUUUUCAAUAAAACACAAUUUUUGUUAAAAUUUUAUUUUAUAACUUACAGAGCCAUCUAUGUGUCAAGUGCAAAAAUUAAAAAAAAAUAAAGAUAAUA